ACCAUCAUGAUAAAUACAUGUAUGGGAAAAAAUUCAACUUGAUCCGACAAGAAUAAGGGCUCGAUCCGGACGGUCAAUCUCGUAAGUCAAACCCCUAAACGCACGGAAAAGGUCGUUCGACCGUCUAAAUUACGUAUUUUGGCCGGACCUCCAACUGAAAAUAGUUUUAAAUCGAUGACACGCAACAAGUCGUAUAAAAAUUUUACGCAAAAUAACCAUCGAAUAUAGGGCUACUCAUAGGGGGAAAGAAUGAAAAAUUGCAUUGACCGCAACUAUUGGCACCGAAUAUUUACCGGAAUAGUGUGAUUUUUCAACCGUGGAUGUAUUUCAACAUUCUCAUCAUAUCUUAUUGCAUGACUUUUUGGCGUUUCAAGGUUUUACGUAUAGUUUGUUUUUGAAACGGAACAUUUACAUAACACUUGGUAAACAAGUUAUACAACAUUAGUAUGCAUGUUGUGAUUGUGAUGAUCAAACUUGAGAAAAAUAAAUCCGACCGUCAGAUCUGACCAUCAUGACAAAAUACAUGUAUGGGAAAAAAUUCAACUUGAUCCGACAAGAAUAAGGGCUCGAUCCGGACGGUCAAUCUCGUAAGUCAAACCCCUAAACGCACAGAAAAGGUCGUUCGACCGUCUAAAUUACGUAUUUUGGCCGGACCUCCAACUGAAAAUAGUUUUAAAUCGAUGACACGCAACAAUUCGUAUAAAAAUUUUACGCAAAAUAACCACCGAAUAUAGGGCUACUCAUAGGGGGAAAGAAUGAAAAAUUGCAUUGACCGCAACUAUCGGCACCGAAUAUUUACCCGAAUAGUGUGAUUUUUCAACCGUGGAUGUAUUUCAACAUUCUCGUCAUAUCUUAUUUCAUGACUUUUUGGCGUUUCAAGGUUUUACGUAUUGUUUGUUUUUGAAACGGAACAUUUACAUAACACUUGGUAAACAAGUUAUACAACAUUAGUAUGCAUGUUGUGAUUGUGAUGAUCAAACUUGAGAAAAAUAAAUCCGACCGUCAGAUCUGACCAUCAUGACAAAAUACAUGUAUGGGAAAAAAUUCAACUUGAUCCGACAAGAAUAGGGGCUCGAUCCGGACGGUCAAUCUCGUAAGUCAAACCCUAAACGCAUGGAAAAGGUCGUUCGACCGUCUAAAUUACGUAUUUUGGCCGGACCUCCAACUGAAAAUAGUUUCAAACCGAUGAGACGCAAGAAGUCGUCUAAAAAUUUUACGGAAAAUAACAACCGAAGAUAGGGCUAUAGUAGGUAAUAGAAAAAUUUAGAGUUUAGCCGACGAAUACCCUAACGUAUUCGUCGGC
rnacentral:lncRNA from 1 species